GGAGUUAGCCGGUGCUUCUUCUGUGAGUGAUGUCCUUCCUGCCGGCUAUUAACCCGCAGGCCUUCUUCCUCACUGAAAGUGCUUUACAACCCGAAGGCCUUCUUCACACACGCGGCAUGGCUGGAUCAGGGUUGCCCCCAUUGUCCAAUAUUCCCCACUGCUGCCUCCCGUAGGAGUCUGGGCCGUGUCUCAGUCCCAGUGUGGCUGAUCAUACUCUCAGACCAGCUACGGAUCGUCGCCUUGGUGAGCCGUUACCUCACCAACCAGCUAAUCCGACAUAGGCUCAUCCGAUAGCGCGAGGCCCGAAGGUCCCCCGCUUUCCCCCGUAGGGCGUAUGCGGUAUUAGCCUGGGUUUCCCCAGGUUAUCCCCCACUACCGGGCAGAUUCCUAUGCAUUACUCACCCGUCCGCCGCUCGCCACCAGGGAGCAAGCUCCCCGUGCUGCCGCUCGACUUGCAUGUGUUAGGCCUGCCGCCAGCGUUCAAUCUGAGCCAGGAUCAAACUCUGA
rnacentral:rRNA from 1 species